rnacentral:rRNA from 1 species
GAUGAACGCUGGCGGCGUGCCUAAUACAUGCAAGUCGAGCGAACGGACGAGAAUCUUGCUUCUCUGAUGUUAGCGGCGGACGGGUGAGUAACACGUGUAUAACCUACCUAUAAGACUGGGAUAACUUCGGGAAACCUGAUCUAAUACCGGAUAAUAUUUUGAACCGCAUGGUUCAAAAGUGAAAGACGUUCUUGCUGUCACUUAUAGAUGGAUCCGCGCUGCAUUAGCUAGUUGGUAAGGUAACGGCUUACCAAGGCAACGAUGCAUAGCCGACCUGAGAGGGUGAUCGGCCACACUGGAACUGAGACACGGUCCAGACUCCUACGGGAGGCAGCAGUAGGGAAUCUUCCGCAAUGGGCGAAAGCCUGACGGAGCAACGCCGCGUGAGUGAUGAAGGUCUUCGGAUCGUAAAACUCUGUUAUUAGGGAAGAACAUAUGUAUAAGUAAAUGUGCACAUCUUGACGUUACCUACUCAGAAAGCAACGGCUAACUACGUG